GGGAUGGGGGCUGCAAUGAAGCGCACUACACUGGCUUCAGCUCUGGAGAGGAGUCUCCGGGGGUUGAGUCAGGCUGGCUGGGUCCUAGAGCCCCAGGAAGGGGUGCGAGGAGUGAAGGGGCUGCCAGGAACAGGGAAGGAAUGAGCAAGGAGAGAAGUCAGGGGUCCAGAGAACAGGGCUUUGAGGGUUCUGAAGGAGUUUGGGGUCUUUGGCUAGGACAGGGUUUCCUUCUGGUGAUAGGGCUCCAGGUGAGGGCUGGAGCAAGGGGAAGCCUAGGGAGGUGGGACGGUAGGGCAGCAGUCAGCUUGAUAGCUGGGCAGCUGGGAAUUCCAGAAGGCAGAAGUGAGGAGGGGGGAUGGAGCUGCUUGGCCGAGUUGGGGACCUAGGGCCCCUGGCCGGUGGCUGGGUGCCAAGCAGCAUUGAAUAGCAUGGCGAGGGCCGGGCCGGCUGUGGCCCUUUGUCUUCCAGGCCCAGUCUGGAGAGGUACGAGGCUUCCAGGGAGGUGGGGUGGCUGGUGACUGCGCGGGCUGCAGGAAAGGGUUGGUCCCUCUCCCAGAUUCCUGGCGUGGCUUUUGGCAGCCCGGCCAAAGUGUGAGGGCUUGCCAGGGUGUUCCCAGCUGAGGGAGCCUUGUAUGUGAGGACCUUGGAGAGGUCCCGGGGGACUGAGGAUGUGGGAUAGGAAGGGGGCUGCCGAAGACUACCUGUCGUUCCCCAUCGUGUGUGACUGGGGGUGGGGCGUGGUAUGAGGUCAUCACUUGGAUUCAUGCUAAGCCCUCUCCCGGGCCAGCUGCUAGGGAGACUUCUUUAGGCUUUUUUCAGCCUCUGCCAGUGUCACUGGCCCUUUCUGGGCCACAGCUUCCUGAGCUUCAGGGGAGGGAGUCCCCCUGUCCUCCCCUGGGCUGGAUUUGAGCAUCUUACAUGUAAACGCUGAUGAGGACUCCUGCUACCCCCUCACCACACACACUGGCCACUGCCACCCUUUCUGAGGCUCAUAAGUGCACCCUCUGAGGGCUGGCCAGCUGCUCCGAGCCAGGAGGGAGUCUGUCACCUGCCACCCUCGCACCUGUUCCCGGAGGGUUGGGAGUGAGGCCUUGGCGAGUGGAAGUGGGACACACUGAAUAAUAAUUCUCUUGGCAAAAAGCACAGUUGGCAGGAUCGGGUGUCUCGAUCAUCCUCACCCCCUCAAGACAGGUAAGCCAAGACCCUCACCUCCCCGGGCUGGACCUCAGCCUGCCCUGCUCGGGCCCUGGUACUCAGAGCUGAGGCUGUGGCCCCCACUUGUCCAGCAGAGCUCCGGUACCCACCUGCACCCAGCACCCAUUCCUG
rnacentral:lncRNA from 1 species